UUAAAAAUAACCGUUUUAUUGUCGAUAUAUCAAAUUUUUUAUAAUUGCCAUAAUUAAAUGAUUGGUUAAAAAAGAUUUCAGAAUUAAUAUAUUAGAUCAAAUAAAUAUUAGUAUAAUGAGCCUUGUACAUCCAGAUUGUGACUGUAAAUGUGAACAUGAUAGGCGGAAGUUUGAGCAGAUUGGAACCUGAUUUGUAUUCUAACUUGUUUAGAACGUGGACAAAAGAUUCAGACUUAAUAAAUAUUACCUUAUCUGGUGAUAAAAUAUGCCGAAUGUUGGCCAACGAACCAUUAUUAGGUGCUGGCGUGAUUUUCAAAAUGUGACACAUCAGCUCAUAUAUAUCAAUGCUAUUGAUCGAAUCAGUUUGGAACCCGGAUUUGAAAGAAGGACCUUGAGCAAAAAAUAUUGGCCAGCUGUCGGGAUGAGAAUUAUCAAACCCAUGAUUACCUAUAAGUUAUCAUAAAUAUAUAAAAUUUUAUGGGUAUUCAAGAGGAUGGAUUUGGAUAGUUGGAAAAGGAGGGGUAUGGGUGGUGGAUUUUAAAGAGGAAUAUUUUUAAUAAAUUCCAAUUAAAAUACCCUCUCAAAUCCUGCCCCAGUUGAAGGGUGAAAAGACAUGGCAGGCGGAAAGAAUCCGAUCUAACAGUUAUUGGAUUAUCCAGAAAAAAGAAGAAGAUAAAUAAUCAAAUAUCUGUAGAAAAUAUCGAGAUAGAAAAAAGUACUAUCUUUCAUAUAAAUUUUUUUAUAACUUAAUAUUUAAUAGAUCAACCUAAUUCUCAGGCAGAAUUUAUUAAUUUCAUAAUAACUAGCAAUAUAAAUUCAUAUUUAUAUAUUUUUAAUUAACCUUAUUUUAAUUUAGCUAGUGUUGUUAAACGGCUCGUUUUGAGCCGAUUUUUAAAAACGGCUAACUCAAUAUUUUAGGCAGAAAAAUAUUGCAUAAGCCUAGAGAUUUCGCUAAUAGAUGUCCAAACCAUUGUUACUUCUACAAACAGAAUCUUCAGGCUUGCGUAAUAUUAUUCUAGAUGAAAUAUUGAGUUAUCCGUUUUUAAAAAUCGGCUCAAAACGAGCCGUUUAACAACACUAAUUUAGCAAAUAGAAAAUUGCCAAAAUCCAGAGAAAUAUACCAAAAAAUAAACACAUGGCCUAUUCAAAUCUUUCAAAUAAUAUAGAAAAAGCUGUUUGGAUUUUAGCAUGAUUAUCGAAAAUUAAAGUUAAAGAUAAAAUACAAAUAUAUCAACUAAUUAUCAAAAAUGAUAUCUUAACUAUUCCGGGAGAUAUGCGAUGUCUUAAAAAUGAUGAUGUCGAUAUUAGUAUUGUUGUUUCAUACGUUACAAAGGAAGCUUGGAUAAAACUUAAUGUUUUACACAAUUUUAUUUUAGCGGAACUAUGGCUUUGCCAAAAAUGUGAUAUAAUUUUGAAAAAUAAAUUGUACCAUUUCCGUUGCCAAAAUAUUAAAAAAACUACAAAAACAUAUAUGGUUAUAUAUAAAUUGUCAUUAAUGUAAUUAUUAUAUUAUUUAUUUUGCUUAUAUUUAUAAAAUAUAUAGAUUAAUAAAGCUUAUUCAGUUUGUCACAAUA